AAAAUUCACUAUCAUUUUUAUGCAAAAACAUCUCUCUCCCACCGCCUAACCGACGCCACCACUCCCUCUUGUUCAUGGCAAGCCAGCAGCAGCGCCACCAACGGUGUCAUAUUUGUUUCUUCUUUAGCUAGCUGAUUUAAUUCGGAGUCUGGAACGGUGGAACCUGCUAGACUAUGCUUUCUAUUUUCUUGCCCAAAUUUUUUUUUCUUUGUCAAAUCAGAGGGCCUUUGGUGGCAACCUCCCUCUCUCCUCCAAAAAGCCCACACAAUUACUCACGACCCCAGCCGCCAGCCCGCCAGUGUUGGCAACCUUGCUCUAGAAUUUAUGUUACACAGCUAGUGUCAAAAGGAUUUAUUUUCAUGGAUUUUAUGGGUUUGAUUUUGUAUCUUCUUUUUUUUUUUUUUUUUUUCUUUUUUAUGAAUUUAUGUUCAUGGAGUUGAGGUGGAGGAAUUUUUUAUGGAAUUAGAAGUGAAUAUUUUUGUAUAGCAAAUUUUGGUUGUUUGGAAGA